rnacentral:rRNA from 1 species
GAUGAACGCUGGCGGCGUGCCUAAUACAUGCAAGUCGAGCGAACGGACGAGAAGCUUGCUUCUCUGAUGUUAGCGGCGGACGGGUGAGUAACACGUGGAUAACCUACCUAUAAGACUGGGAUAACUUCGGGAAACCGGAGCUAAUACCGGAUAAUCUUUUGAACCGCAUGGUUCAAAAGUGAAAGACGGUCUUGCUGUCACUUAUAGAUGGAUCCGCGCUGCAUUAGCUAGUUGGUAAGGUAACGGCUUACCACGGCAACGAUGCAUAGCCGACCUGAGAGGGUGAUCGGCCACACUGGAACUGGGACACGGUCCAGACUCCUGCGGGAGGCAGCAGUAGGGAAUCUUCCGCAAUGGGCGAAAGCCUGACGGAGCAACGCCGCGUGAGUGAUGAAGGUCUUCGGAUCGUAAAACUCUGUUAUUAGGGAAGAACAUAUGUGUAAGUAACUGUGCACAUCUUGACGGUACCUAAUCAGAAAGCCACGGCUAACUACGUG